rnacentral:rRNA from 1 species
CAGGCCUAACACAUGCAAGUCGAACGAGAAAGGGGAGCAAUCCCUGAGUAAAGUGGCGACCGGGUGAGUAACACGUGACCAAUCUACCCUGGAGUGGGGGAUAACCUCGGGAAACCGGGGCUAAUACCGCAUAACAUCCCUGGAUCGGAAGAACUGGGGAUCAAAGGAGCAAUUCGCUUCAGGAGGAGGUCGCGGCUGAUUAGCUAGUUGGCGGGGUAAUGGCCCACCAAGGCGAAGAUCGGUAGCCGGCCUGAGAGGGCGCACGGCCACACUGGAACUGAAACACGGUCCAGACUCCUACGGGAGGCAGCAGUGGGGAAUUUUGCGCAAUGGGGGAAACCCUGACGCAGCAACGCCGCGUGGAGGAUGAAGUCCCUUGGGACGUAAACUCCUUUCGACCCGGACGAUAAUGACGGUACGGGUGGAAGAAGCCCCGGCUAACUUCGUGCCAGCAGCCGCGGUAAUACA